rnacentral:rRNA from 1 species
UCCGUAGGUGAACCUGCGGAAGGAUCAUUACAUAUUAAGCAAAGCCGGGUACAAGAGCCACCGCUUCGGCGCAACUCUGUCCUGGUCGCGCGAAUAUUCACCCAUGUUUUUGCGUACUUCUUGUUUCCUUGGUGGGCUCGCCCGCCAUAGGACAACCAUUAAACCUUUUGUAAUUGCAGUCAGCGUCAGUAAAAUGUAAUCGUUACAACUUUCAACAACGGAUCUCUUGGUUCUGGCAUCGAUGAAGAACGCAGCGAAAUGCGAUAAGUAGUGUGAAUUGCAGAAUUCAGUGAAUCAUCGAAUCUUUGAACGCACAUUGCGCCCAUUGGUAUUCCAAUGGGCAUGCCUGUUCGAGCGUCAUUUGUACCCUCAAGCUUUGCUUGGUGUUGGGCGUCUUGUCUCCAGUCCGCUGGAGACUCGCCUUAAAGUCAUUGGCAGCCGGCCUACUGGUUUCGGAGCGCAGCACAAGUCGCACUCUUUUCCAGCCAAGGUCAGCGUCCAACAAGCCUUUUUUCAACUUUUGACCUCGGAUCAGGUAGGGAUACCCGCUGAACUUAAGCAUAUCAAUAAGCGGAGGGAAGUCGGACUGGCCAAGGGGCACACCAGGGGGGGGGGAUA